UGAUUGUUCCCAGGUGUGUCUCGUCUCUGUGAUUACCCUCCCAUGUAUUUAACUCCACCUGUGUUCCUUGUUCCUCGUCGGGUCCUCGUCAAUGGUAGCUUCUUGGUCGUCAAUGUCCAGUCUAGUCGUCCUCAGUGUUUCCAUGUGCCUGCUACUCGUUCCUGGAAUUAUUUCUUCAUUACAGA